rnacentral:rRNA from 1 species
AUACGGAGGAUCCGAGCGUUAUCCGGAUUUAUUAGGUUUAAAGGGUGCGCAGGCGGAACUGUAAGUCACCGGUGAAAUCCUACAGCUUAACUGUAGAACUGCCGGUGAUACUGCGAUUCUUGAGUAUAGUUGAGGUAGGCGGAAUGUGUAAUGUAGCGGUGAAAUGCAUAGAUAUUACACAGAACACCGAUUGCGAAGGCAGCUUACUAAACUAUUACUGACGCUCAUGCACGAAAGCGUGGGGAGCGAACAGGAUUAGAUACCCCAGUAGUCC